GUUUGAUCAUGGCUCAGGACGAACGCUUGCGGCGUGCCUAAGAAAUGCAAGUCGAGCGAGGUUAAGGGGCUUGCUCCUUAAUCUAGCGGCGAACGGUCGAGUAACACGUAGGCAACCUGCCCCAAAGCGGGGGAUAGCCCACCGAAAGGUGGAUUAAUACCGCAUGUGGUCACGAGAGGGCAUCCUCUUGUGACUAAAGCAGCAAUGCGCUUUGGGAUGGGCUUGCGGCCUAUCAGCUAGUUGGCGAGGUAACGGCCCACCAAGGCGACGACGGGUAGCUGGUCUGAGAGGAUGGUCAGCCGGACUGGGACUGAGAUACGGCCCAGACUCCUACGGGGGGGCAGCAAUUAGGAAUCUUGCGCAAUGGGGGAAACCCUGACGCAGCGACGCCGCGUGAAGGAUGAAGGCCUUCGGGUUGUAAACUUCUUUUAAGAGGGAAGAAGUAAGUGACGGUACCUCUUGAAUAAGCCCCGGCUAACUACGUGCCAGCAGCCGCGGUAAUACGUAGGGGGCGAGCGUUGUCCGAAGUUACUGGGCGUAAAGCGCGCGUAGGCGGGCUGUUAAGUUGGGUGUGAAAUCUCCGGGCUCAACCCGGAAACCGCACCCAAAACUGGUAGCCUUGAGGUAUGGAGAGGGAAGUGGAAUUCCUGGUGUAGCGGUGAAAUGCGUAGAUAUCAGGAGGAACACCCGUGGCGAAGGCGGCUUCCUGGUCAUAUCCUGACGCUGAGGCGCGAAAGCUAGGGGAGCGAACGGGAUUAGAUACCCCGGUAGUCCUAGCCGUAAACGAUGGAUACUAGGUGUUAGUGGUAUCGACCCCACUAGUGCCGCAGCUAACGCAAUAAGUAUCCCGCCUGGGGAGUACGGCCGCAAGGUUGAAAC
rnacentral:rRNA from 1 species